rnacentral:lncRNA from 1 species
UGGUGGGUGUUGUGAUUGUGCCAUUUGCAUCUCAAUUCUUGGGUAAUUAUCAUAUAAUAUUUUAUGCUUUUGGGGAUUUCUGUGAUCUUUUAUUAAUUGGGGAUUUAUUUGGAGUUGAGUUCCAUAUGUUUAAUUGAGUGGGUUUUCUCGGUGGCGAUCGCGAGACGAUUAAUCUUUCGGCAAAUUAAGAUUUGUGAGGGUGCUGAAUUCGUUC